rnacentral:rRNA from 1 species
GACGAACGCUGGCGGCGCGCCUAAUACAUGCAAGUCGAGCGGAAGUUGGAGAGCUUGCUCUUCAACUUUAGCGGCGGACGGGUGAGUAACACGUGGGCAACCUGCCCUGCAGAUCGGGAUAACUCCGGGAAACCGGUGCUAAUACCGAAUAGUUUUCGCCACCUCCUGGUGGCGUACGGAAAGACGGUUUCGGCUGUCACUGCAGGAUGGGCCCGCGGCGCAUUAGCUAGUUGGUGGGGCAACGGCCCACCAAGGCGACGAUGCGUAGCCGACCUGAGAGGGUGAUCGGCCACACUGGGACUGAGACACGGCCCAGACUCCUACGGGAGGCAGCAGUAGGGAAUCUUCCGCAAUGGACGAAAGUCUGACGGAGCAACGCCGCGUGAGUGACGAAGGUUUUCGGAUCGUAAAACUCUGUUGUGAGGGAAGAACAAGUACCACUUAACUACUGGUACCUUGACGGUACCUCACCAGAAAGCCACGGCUAACUACGUGCCAGCAGCCGCCGUAACAC